ensembl:rRNA 5S_rRNA 5S ribosomal RNA
UCUAUGGCCAUACCACCCUGAAUGCAUCUGAUCUUGUUGAUCUCAGAAGCUAAGCAGGGUUGGGUCUGGUUAGUACUUGGAUGGGAAGAGUUACUUGGCAUUUGUUAGAG